rnacentral:rRNA from 1 species
AUUCCAGCUCCAAUAGCGUAUAUUAAAGUUGUUGCGGUUAAAAAGCUCGUAGUUGGAUUUCUGCUGAGGACGACCGGUCCGCCCUCUGGGUGAGUAUCUGGCUCGGCCUUGGCAUCUUCUUGGGGAACGUAACUGCACUUGACUGUGUGGUGCGGUAUCCAGGACUUUUACUUUGAGGAAAUUAGAGUGUUUCAAGCAGGCGCACGCCUUGAAUACAUUAGCAUGGAAUAAUAAGAUAGGACCUUGGUUCUAUUUUGUUGGUUUCUAGAGCUGAGGUAAUGAUUAAUAGGGAUAGUUGGGGGUAUUCAUAUUUAAUUGUCAGAGGUGAAAUUCUUGGAUUUAUGAAAGAUGAACUCAUGCGAAAGCAUUUACCAAGGAUGUUUUCAUCG